rnacentral:miRNA from 1 species
AGUAGGACGUUUCCUCCCGCGUG